CGUAUAGUACAAGUACGUAGUUUAAAAUCGAGCUGUGCAUGUGUGUAGGAGAGAACGAAAACCGCACUUACGCGAUUAUAAUAAUACUUGGUGUGCGUGCAUUUUUUAUAUAUAUAUAUAUAGGUACCUGCAACUACUCGUGUGCGUUUGUAUAUAGCCAGGUACGAGUCGGGGUGGAUGGAGGUCGAACAAAAUCGUUAAGGCGGCGCCGCCGCCGCCAUCGCCAAGUCGCGUUACGUCGUCAUCGAACACACGCCGGGGCGGUGGAAAGUAUAUAGGUAUUUAUUAGAAAAAAAAAUUGCACUACGUAACGACCAAUAAUACUACUGUAUGUACAUGCGCUAUAGCUAAAUAAACUAUUCUCUAUUCGCACAUGUACCCAAGCCCGACAAUCGUAUUUUCAGCCCAUUGUGUGACGUGCGCGUUGCUUGCGCGGCAUCGGAGCGUUUAUAAAUAGUAGACGCCGGAGGGAUAUAUAGCUAAUGCCGCGAGACAGCGGCCUGUCGGUCUAUUCUCGCGAGAGCGUCUCCGGCGUCCGGCGAAGACGUCGCGGCAGCGUCGACCCAAUUGCCACGGACCGGAAGGAACCGGACGGAGUCGCACGCCAACAACCACGCAUUCACAGUGCGGCGCCGGGUAUCGAUUGUUAGUAUAAAUUAUUUAUACAUUGUGGUCGCUACUGUCAAAUUUUAUCUGCGAUAUCGGAGAUCGUAAAGAAACUGUGUAUACUAACUUUUCAGUAGGUUUCUAUAGCGUGAUUCGUUAUAUUGAAUAUUAAACCAUUGCAUACAGGUACGAGAAAUGGUAUAUAGAGUGGAAACGUCCCCGUCGCGUCAGUGAAGGAUUAAGGAAUUUUGCAAACACAAAUUAGUGUGAAUUCCAGGGAAUGUUCGAGAACGGCCUGGAAUAUCAAAAGAUUCACGAUAAACAAUUACUAUGCAUUAAUCAUUAUGAAUUACGAUAAUGAAUGACGUAUUUCAAUGUCUUGCUUAUAUCAAAAUAUGCUAUAGAGGACGAUCCAGUUUAUGUAAAACGCAGGGUAUAUUCCGGAAAGUGCCAAUUCUAGUCAGUCUCCAUUUCAAAGGAUAUUUUAUAACUUAUACAUUACCUACUAUUACUUAUUAGAAGUUUUUUAUUCUUAAUAAGUAGUAUGGGCGUAACCUAUUAUGAUAUAGGUUAAACUAAUUUAUGAAAUAAACAUCGUAUAUAUUUUAAUUUAUAAUAAUUAUAAUUUUAUAUUAUAUUUUCAUAUACAUUAUUUUUAAAUACCGAUGUAUUGUAGAAUAGUUUGAACUUUGAAUAAGUAUACAUGUAUUAAAUAUUUUGAAAUUUGCAAUGAGUAUGUAAAACAAUAAGAUCUGUAAUUAAAAUAAAAUUCAGUCUCAA